rnacentral:rRNA from 1 species
AGAAUCAACGCUGGCGGCGUGCCUAACACAUGCAAGUCGAACGAGAAAGGGUAGCAAUACCUGAGUAAAGUGGCGCACGGGUGAGUAACACGUGACUAACCUACCUUUUAGUGGGGGAUAACCUAGGGAAACCUGGGCUAAUACCGCAUAAUACCUACGGGUCAAAGCAGCAAUGCGCUGAAUGAGGGGGUCGCGGUCGAUUAGUUAGUUGGCAGGGUAAUGGCCUACCAAGACUGUGAUCGAUAUCCGGCCUGAGAGGGCGCACGGACACACUGGAACUGAAACACGGUCCAGACUCCUACGGGAGGCAGCAGUGGGGAAUUUGCGCAAUGGGGGAAACCCUGACGCAGCAACGCCGCGUGGAGGAUGAAGUCCCUUGGGACGUAAACUCCUUUCGAUCGGGACGAUAAUGACGGUACCGGAAGAGAAGCCCCGGCUAACUUCGUGCCAGCAGCCGC